rnacentral:lncRNA from 1 species
GACGGACAACGGUAUACCAUAAUACGCCCCGUUCUAAAAAGACGACGGGCGUAUAAAAAUCUGAACAUUUUUUUCAAGUAGUCACUGAACCAUGAAAAUGAGGUCAAUGACAUUGGACAUGUGACUGACGGAACUUCGUAACAUGAGGCAUCUAUAUACAAAGUAUGAACCAUCCUGGUCUUUCACCUUCUAAAAUACAAAGCUUUUAAUAAGUGAGCUAACGCCGACACCCCCGUCGUAGACUCCACCGGAUCAUUAUCCCUAUGUCGAGCUUUUUGCGACAAAAGUCGCAGGCUAGACAAAAAUGACACGAUUUAUAACAGUAGCAAAAUAAGUGUACAAAAUAAUACUGUGAAACACUAUGUUAUCAUUAAUGCGACACAAUUUGUUAGAUAUAUGCAAUGAUUGACUUGAUCUACAACAGUAGUGGAAAAUAAGUGACAGACAUUGGAACACUAUUUUAUCAAUAAUAUGAUACAAAUUGGUAGAUAGAUGUGGGGACACAAUCUACAACAUUACUGCAGUAAACAAAUAAGAUAUAUACACCAUUCCUGCUCAUUAUUUGUAUGACACGUCAUACUUCAAGAUUAUUUUUAUCUUCAGACAACUGAUGUUUAUUGGUAAUAAAAAGGGAAUAAAGAUAUUAAAAGGCAAUCAGUUUAAAUAUACUGUACACACAUAAAGCUACAGAGGAUGACUCAUUUUGCCAUUUGAUUAGGGACUUUCCAUUUUGAAUUUUCCUCAGAGUUCAGAUUUUUUUUAUUUUACCUUUUUCUUAACUUUUGGGUGAGUCAAACUUGAGUUAGUGAACGGAAACCAAUUUGGGGACGUACCUAUGUACGAAUGGAAGUAGAGGGACAAGGGUAAAUCUUAAUGCAACGGUGGGUUCAUAAACAAAUAUGUUCAUUAUAUGGCUCUGAAACUGUCUCUUGAUCAUACAAAGAAGCUUACGUCCAACUUAUGUAAAUUUCAAUGACGGUUUCAACUUUGAAAAAAUCUUAUACUAAAUAUAAAUGUUAGCUGUAAACACAAACUAAGUUAAACCAGGUGCUCGCAGGGCGCAGCUUUAUACGACCGCAGAGGCGAACCCUGAACAGUUGGGGCAAGUUAUGACACAACAUGCAAGCUUGAUACAGCUCUGAAUUUGGAUUGUGAUUAAAUA